GAUCUUUCCCCCCCAUUUUUUGCUGAAGGGCUGGAUGACAAAACUGCAUUUGAUAAAGCUUUGGCUCUGAAGACCCAGACCUACUGACUUCUUCAAAUCUGCCAUAAAGAUAAAUGUUUUCCAUGCAACAACCAAGAUUGUAUUUCACUCCUGGAAAUUCUAGCUGUUGCAAAGCCUCAAUCAACAAACUCCUAGAAAAGAGACUUCAAUCAGAUGGUAAUUAACAUCAUCAUGAAAUACAACAUGCCCACAGAUCUGCUUAUUUGAUCUUCUUAAGAACACCCUUAACUUGGGCACGGUCAGCCCUGACUCAGUUUCUACAAUACAUUUCAAAUAGGAAUCAGCCAAAUAUUUUUUUUAUUGCCUUUAUAGCUGUGGCUUGACUAGCAACCCAGUGGAUAACUCUGAAACAGCUCAGUUACCUCAACAGCUUGAAGUUGAUGUAAUCUUUUGGGCCUUAAAUACAAAGUAAAAAGGUGGUUCAAAAUAAAUUCACACUUUUUAAGAUAAGGAUAAUCUUUGACAUCAAGCCUACCAAACUCAAGGUAGCCACUCAUGUACUGCACAACAUGAAAAACAUCUUCUAUAAACCUCAUCUUAGUGUAUGCGCAACAUGCCUCAGGUGGCACUUGACAAGAAUUCAUCAGCCAAUUUGGUUCGCUGAUUGGAUCAUCAGCUGCCCUGGCCCGGGCCAAGCAUUGACGGGGAGUGUGACAUGAACACUGAUCCAUCACGUCAGUUGAAAAGUUCAUCUCCACUGCUGUAUCAUAUAAAUCUGAGUCAAUCAUUUCUGAUUUGAGCUCAUUCUGUUGAUCUCCCAACUCCUAAAUCUGAAUUCUCCCAUGUAUAUCUUCGGUCCUCCCAGAUUUCAAGACUACUAUGUUUGCAAUGUUUUCUACCUUCUACUAUCCAAUGUUCAGCAUUACCAAACUCUGAACUUCAAAUUAACUUGCUCUAUUAUGAUCUGAAGUUCCCCUCUUAAGCAGCAUAAGCAGCAACAACAACAAAAGGGCAAUAAUCAUUCUACUGGUUAUUGUCAAGCUGUACAAAUAAUGUUACACAGUAAUACACUGGAUUAUUUUCUCUUUAAAAAAAAAAAGGUAGAAUUGUGUGUGUGUUUCUGAAGUGCAGAAUGGAAAAAAGCUGUCUUUUUAUGUGACUACAAACUUUAAUGGCUUUAUGACACAGACAGUAGGUUUGUUUUUGCCUGAAUGACGAAAACUUGCAGAAUUUGAGAAAUACUUUAGAGCCAAAAUUCUUGUGGGACUUGCUCCCUAGAUCCUCGCUAUUUUGCACACUUUUUUCUCCUUUAUAUAUUUGAUUAUUUAAAAAUAAAAUAUAAAAAGGCUGGUCAUAAUUUAACCUGAGGACUAUUGCCCCUGCACCUGGAACCCCCCCAACGAGCCUGUGUACAUUCAGAUCUCCCACUGAGCUGCCCGCACUUAGAUUGCCCCACAUAGAAACCUCUCACCUCACAUCUGGAUCCCCCCACCCCCCAAGCUCUUCCAUACUUGGAUCCUGCUGGGCUGAGCCUGCCCAUGCACACCUCGUGCACCUGGCACGGAUGGACAGGGCCCCAGAAUGUUUCUGUGGUAGGCCCAGCCUUUGCAGUGUCAGGGUCAGCUGCAGCCUCACUGCUGAGUCUCUCUACUGAGGAGGUGGGGUCUUCAGGGUGAUCUCCCCCCUCAAUGCAGCCAGUGGCCUGUGCUCCCCACUGCCAUGCUGGAGCCACACAGUUAUUUAUUGACAAGUAAAAUUUGCAGAAUGUUAAGAUAUUGUGUGCACAAUUUUUAGGCACAGAAUUACCUCAGGAGUACAGAGAACAAUGUUCUUGUUGGCCAAAACCCUAAUGGGGAAAAACUGUCUUAAGUAAAGUGUACUCUAUUUCGUUUAUUUUGCUUUAUACUCCAUUUUGCUAGUUUUAAAUGAGUAAAAAAAAAAUUGUUCUGAAUUUAUUGUUUGCUAAUUGUAUUAAUAAUUAUUCUUAAAUGAAUAAAAGUUUUAUGGCUGUAA